UGGGGUCUCACUAUAUUACCCAGGUUGUUCCCAAACUCCUGGGCUCAGGUGAUCCACCUGCCUCAGCCUCCCAAAGGGAUUACAGGUACACCCUGCCAUGCCUGGCCCAUGUUCUAUAAAUUUUUUGUUGAGAUCUUCUCAUAUUAAUGCAGGUAGAUCUUCUUCAUUCUUUUUUCAAUGGUCGUUUAUUAUUUCCAGAGUAUUCAUAUACCAUAAUUUGGUAACCAUUCUAUUGAUGGCUAUUAGGUUAUAAUUUAGGGGAGGAUGCACUACCACUCAUCAGAUUCUCUCAGAGGUCCCUGACCCCAAGAAGUGAAAGGAACAUGCAGGCGCUAAGAACUCUUCCCGUGCACACAGUUCAUGAGCUAGUGCUGAGGUGUAGGGAAUCUGCCAGUUGUAGCUGGUCUUUCCCACAUUUGGCUCUAGCCAGAUAGGGGUGGGUUAGGGUCAGUGUGAGCCAACAGUGUAGACAUAACACCCAACUCAGCACAGUCUGGCCAUGCCUGUCCCAGAGCUACUGGUGUCUGGGCUGCCUUGGUGUCUGUACAGAGCUCAGCCUAGGCCUGGCCCACCGGGGCCUCUCCCUGAUGGCUUCACUUCCCUCCCAGGUCUCCAUAGGACGUCUGUGUUUGACCGCCUCGGCGCCGAGACCAAGGCAGACACCACGACAGGGAGUAAACCCACAGGAGUCUUCAGCCGCCUGGGGGCCACCCCAGAAACGGACGAGGAUCUGGCUUGGGACAGCGACAAUGACAGCAGCAGCUCUGUCUUGCAGUAUGCCGGGGUCCUGAAGAAGCUAGGACGGGGCCCAGCCAAGGCCAGUCCCCAGCCAGCACUGACUGUCAAAGCCAAGGCCACAAGCUCAGCGACAACGGCCGCUGCCCCGACACUGCGGCGCCUGGCGCUUUCCUCACGGUCUGGGCCUGAGAGGAAGCCGGAGUCCUUGUCUAAAGUCAGCAUCAUCAAGAGACUGGGCGCAGCUGCCCUUGUGCCCGAGGCCCAGGACAGCCAGGUCACCAGCACCAAGAGUAAGUCCUCAGCCGAGGUCAAGGUCACCAUUAAGAGGACUCUGGUGGGGCCCCGGGGGAGCAGCUCCAGCGAGGGCCUUGGUGCCCAGAUGGACCACGCGGGCACUGUGAGCGUGUUCAAAAGACUGGGCCGCAGGACCUUCUAGCCCACCUGUGGGCGGGGUGCAGGCAGCAGAGCCCGCGGGCAUCUGCCCUGGCCGCCCCAGGCUCCUGGCUUCAUCACGCCUCCCACCAGCUCCUGGAUGACACAGCUUGUCUCCCUCGGGCUCUAGAGCUAGGCCCGAGCAUUCGGGGGAUCACCCCAUUUCUCCUAGCCUGGGAUGGUCGUCGCAGCUGGCCUGGCCCGCUCCAGGACUCCCCUUCUCUCAUGUCCUCUGUGCUUUCUUCUCUGGCUGUGGCCUUGGCAGAACCCACUUUUCUACCUCUCCCAAGUGCCAGGGGGCCUCUUCCUCUCCUACAUUCCCCUUCUUCCCCUGAGCAGGGUCUGCUGCCUCAGACCCCAGCUCAUCAGCCUCCCUGUCCCCCUCAACUGAGUGGGUGUCACCUGGUGGGCCUCCCUUCCCCCACUCACCACUGACCUCCCUCACUCCUCUGCGCCUCCCCCCACUGCUGUGACUUCUCUCUCUCCCUGUCUUCACUUUGUUCAUUUCUCUUCUGUUUUCUGUCCCCGUGGCAAGGCCCGACUGUCCGCUGCGUCCUGCCCGACCCUCCUGUACCUCCGGCCUCCCAGCGGCCCCCUCGUCGGCGGUGGCGUCAAGCCUGUUGAGACUGUUAGCCGCCCUCUACUCCCAGGCUGGAGGGACCUCUCCAGACCCUGGGCUGCGGCUGAGGCGCAUCCGUUUUCCUGCCCUGGGCAUCUGUCUCUGAAAGUGUAUGGCGGGUGGCGGGCAAGGGGCACUGGGAAGGGAGGCCAGUGCCUAGAGUGAAGACAGCUGCUGUUUUAAUAUAU
rnacentral:sRNA from 1 species